UAUUGAUUACAUUUGCAAGACUAGAAAUUAAAUUGUGGCUUUAAAUGCAUUCUGUUCUAUCAGAAUAUUUUUGUCAUGAACUGCACACACUCCUUCCCCUGCCUUAGUCCAUUUAAAUAGUAAUGGAGAGGCAUGGACUAAAGCCUUUAUAAUACCAAUUGCCAGCAAAUGUGGAAUGUAAGGCUAGUCACAUCACCAAAGAAUUUACAGUCUAAAUGCACAAGAACGUUAGGCAGACAUUAAGAAGUUGAUAUGCCCGGAGAGAAAUUUGAAUGUGAAGGUGGUUGACUGUCCCUUGUGUUCUUCAAGCAAUGAAUAAAAGAGCUGUGUCGGA